UACCUUUUCAGCUCCCAAUUGACAAGAAACAAAAAGACAUCCUCUCAUAAAUUGACAACGUUAUUUGCACCGUUCAUCAGAAUCCCACAAGUUUAAAAAACAAUAAUUGCUACCUGGCCCUACCAUUCUCAUAGUCCCUUGAAACUACACCUUCUUCUGUUCUUUACGAAAUUUACAAAAAUUCAUGGGAAAUUACUCAACUUUAUAAUAAUGAGCAAACGGCUGAGAAGAAUCCUCCAUGCUUGCUUCUUCAAUUAACAUAAAGAUUUGCUUAUCAUUGUUAAACCAGCAACUGCCUUGCCUUUCCAUUCAAUUUUAAACAAUAAUCAGCAAUAAAUACAUUUAUUGAUUCAACAAAUUUUCAUAUUAUAACUAAGUGAUAUUACAAUUAAUUAUUUUUCAUACACUACAUUAAGUUUAAAGUCUAUAUAUUUUUUAAGCAUACUCAGAAUCAAAACCGAAACGCACACUCUGACCAACCAUAGACAAUAAACACAAUCGUAGCAGCCCUGUCCAGCAAAAUUCUUGAAGUCCAAAACAAAACAAAGCACUUACUCACAGUUGAUGAAUUUUAUCUUGAAACCACAUGUCAAGUGGGUCCAAAAUCCAAAGGGAUAGCUCUUGAAUCCCUCACGAAUUAUGAGGCAGUUAACACUUGAACAUUCUCAAACUACUCUAUGCACGCUAAUCGUGUAACCUACUCUCUGCUUUGGCAUCAUCCAUUUUUAAUUUAAUAAUAAUAAUAAUUAAUCAACAUAAAUUCAUUAAAUUGAAAAUGCAUGCAUAAAUCUCACUAUAUGUAUCAAGAAAAUCAAAUGCUUUUUCAAAAUAGAAAAAUUGAAGCGGAACUAUAAAAUUAUUAGCUGUUUAGCAGUUAAUAUAUAUAUAUAUAUAUAAUAAUAAUAGCAUUUCAAAGUGGUUGGCUAUCAUGGUAAGCGUUUAAACAUGUGGGAAUCCAUUUCUCUAUAAAGCUCUCGAGCUUGUUGAGUAAAAUAAAAUUCCUGUAAGAAAAAGAAAUAUAAACCAAACGAAGUUAAAAGAGGAGUUGAAUAUGUAUAAAGACUAGGUUGCGAGUUUUUCUUGGAGAAAUUAAUGAGUUUAGGAUUUAGAUUGCGUUUACUUAAGGAAGUUUUUAAGCUUUUGAAUUCUUUUUCCAUCUCUAUCCUUGGAGGAAUUCUCGUUAGAUUUAAACUCUACCGCUUUCAUUUAUCCCAACUUUUUAAACCAUCCACCUUUUUUUGUCUUGAGUUGAAGCCCAUAGACACGACCACAUAAAAUAUUAAGAUGUAUCACCCAUCGGUGACCUCACUCAUACUUAAUGGCACACAUGCUCACAGCAAUCAAAACCAUCUUUCAACAAUGGCCUUCGUUUCUGAGUUGCUCCAGCUGCGGCCUAUCGAGCAAACACAGGAUAAAGCAAAUCCACAGGACUUCCAAUAUGCGUGGAGAUAAUUUCUGCUUGCAAAUAGCACUUUGUAAGUAUACAAUAAAUGCAUAUAAACAUUCAUCAAUGACUACAAGUGGCAUAACAAAAUAGAAAAUCCACACUUACAAGGAACCAUUUUAUCAUUCAAGCUUCCAGGAAGCUUCAGAAUCUAACUACAAAGUUCAGUACACUGUAACCAUGCUAACAAUCUACAAAAUGUUAAAGCAAGCAUGAUCAUGCUCCCAGUCAUUUAUCAGGGAGCAGCUGGAAAAUUGCUACUGGGUUUCUUUAAGGACUUGCAGAAAAAGGAGAAGGCUGCUUUUAGUUCAUUUGGAAGAGGAACUGAAAGAGGAAGAGAAAAGGGGUGAGUUGCAUAAUGGUAAUCACCAGGGACAGCCAUUGAAUGAGAUGCAUCACGGUAGCUGCAUCUGUAUCUC
rnacentral:misc_RNA from 1 species